UACGGAGGGUGCAAGCGUUGCUCGGAAUCACUGGGCGUAAAGCGUACGCAGGCUGUUCGUUAAGUCGGGUGUGAAAGCCCGGGGCUCAACCCCGGAACUGCGCCCGAUACUGGCGAGCUUGAGUGCGGGAGAGGAGAGCGGAAUUCCUGGUGUAGAGGUGAAAUUCGUAGAUAUCAGGAGGAACACCGGUGGCGAAAGCGGCUCUCUGGCCCGAUACUGACGCUCAUGUACGAAAGCGUGGGGAGCAAACAGG
rnacentral:rRNA from 1 species